AUUCUGUAGCAAGGUUAACCGUAUAGGGGAGCCGGAGGGAAACCGAGUCUUAAUUGGGCGUUAAGUUGCAGGGUAUAGACCCGAAACCCGGUGAUCUAGCCAUGGGCAGGUUGAAGGUUGGGUAACACUAACUGGAGGACCGAACCGACUAAUGUUGAAAAAUUAGCGGAUGACCUGUGGCUGGGGGUGAAAGGCCAAUCAAACCGGGAGAUAGCUGGUUCUCCCCGAAAGCUAUUUAGGUAGCGCCUCGUGAAUUCAUCUCCGGGGGUAGAGCACUGUUUCGGCUAGGGGGCCAUCCCGGCUUACCAACCCGAUGCAAACUGCGAAUACCGGAGAAUGUUAUCACGGGAGACACACGGCGGGUGCUAACGUCCGUCGUGAAGAGGGAAACAACCCAGACCGCCAGCUAAGGUCCCAAAGUCAUGGUUAAGUGGGAAACGAUGUGGGAAGGCCCAGACAGCCAGGAUGUUGGCUUAGAAGCAGCCAUCAUUUAAAGAAAGCGUAAUAGCUCACUGGUCGAGUCGGCCUGCGCGGAAGAUGUAACGGGGCUAAACCAUGCACCGAAGCUGCGGCAGCGA
rnacentral:rRNA from 1 species